GGGGGAAUAUUGCACAAGGGGCGCAAGCCUGAUGCAGCCAUGCCGCGUGUAUGAAGAAGGCCUUCGGGUUGUAAAGUACUUUCAGCGAGGAGGAAGGCGGUAAGGUUAAUAACCUUAUCGAUUGACGUUACUCGCAGAAGAAGCACCGGCUAACUCCGUGCCAGCAGCCGCGGUAAUACGGAGGGUGCAAGCGUUAAUCGGAAUUACUGGGCGUAAAGCGCACGCAGGCGGUCUGUCAAGUCGGAUGUGAAAUCCCCGGGCUCAACCUGGGAACUGCAUUCGAAACUGGCAGGCUAGAGUCUUGUAGAGGGGGGUAGAAUUCCAGGUGUAGCGGUGAAAUGCGUAGAGAUCUGGAGGAAUACCGGUGGCGAAGGCGGCCCCCUGGACAAAGACUGACGCUCAGGUGCGAAAGCGUGGGGAGCAAACA
rnacentral:rRNA from 1 species